rnacentral:lncRNA from 1 species
UAAUCAUCAAUUCACUUCACAUCUAUUGCCUUCAAGGCCAUGAUCUCAACAUGCAUAGAUAGACAAGAAGUGAACACCUCCACCAUAAGUGGAUCAAACCACACAACAUCAAUUCUCAUACUAUAGACUAGAAGUUAGGUCAACUUACCAAUUCUCCAAGCCAUGAUCACCAUGGAUCAAUCCUCAACAAUUCAUAAUCAAUUGACAUAGAUAGCAAUAGGAAUCAACAAUGUAAUUCAAUAACAUAAACAUAAUCUAAGUACAGUUCUAUAAACAAAGGGAUCAACCCAUAACUUUGC